UACGUAGGGUGCAAGCGUUGUCCGGAAUUAUUGGGCGUAAAGAGCUCGUAGGCGGCCUGUCGCGUCGGCUGUGAAAACCCGGGGCUCAACCCCGGGCCUGCAGUCGAUACGGGCAGGCUAGAGUCCGGCAGGGGAGACUGGAAUUCCUGGUGUAGCGGUGAAAUGCGCAGAUAUCAGGAGGAACACCGGUGGCGAAGGCGGGUCUCUGGGCCGAUACUGACACUGAGGAGCGAAAGCGUGGGGAGCGAACAGG
rnacentral:rRNA from 1 species